UUGACUCCCAAGCCCGGGCUCUUUCAUAAAUGUGGGAUCUGUCCUCGAGGAAUUUAGACUUCAAGGGGGACAACGCACAUAGGAACAGUCCAACCUUUAUAGCCACCUCUACCUGAGAAUGAGCAGGGGAAAUAUACAGAGAUGAAGCAGGAGGUGCAGCAUUAAAAAUUACACAACGUG